UUUAGUCCAUAAAGCUGAUCUGCAAAUAUUCUCCAUACAAUUACUCCUCACUUGCCUCAAAUAUCAGGAACGAGGUUGACCAGAUUUCCUCGAGUGCACCUAACCCAGUACUACAAUCAUCAUGUACAACUAUGUGUUCUAGGAUAUGCGAAAUUGUGACCUCCAGCAGGCUUGCACAGAUGAUGCCAAUGCCUGAUUAAAUACGUCCUUUUAAAGGCCUGGAAUUGAAGCUUCAGUUCAGUGUAAACCUAUUUCCACAUUUUCUGACUAUUUAAUCAUUUUGUACUUGUCUGUGCAAUACAAGACCAGUGAUACUUCUUAGUGCUCUAAUUUUCAUCCACAAAACAGAUUGAGUGUCAUCUUCACGGUUAGAUUCCAGGGAGGAUGUAAAUAACUUUUGGAUUAAUAAAAGUAAGAAUAUGAGAGCUAAAUAACCGCCAGUUUACACUAAAUGAAUUUGAUGAGUCUCUGCAAAUGGUUGGCAUCGCUCUUUAUUCUGCAGAUUAAAAGAACUUGAUUAAUUGUUCAUGUUCACAGGUAUCUAAAAAGCUUUCUCUGAUGUCUGUCUUUAAGGGUUACUCUUGGUACUAGGCACAUCCAUGGUUAGAAGUUGCUUGACAAUUUUUGUUUGAACUAAGUUAUUUGUGGGAUACACAUGAAAUAGUCUAAGCCUGAUAUAUACGGUGCUAAUUUACCCUCUACCUAAAACUUGUUGGAGAAACAUGGAGUUUUUUUUUGGCAGCUUCCAAAUGUUGAUUUUGCCUCAGGUACUGUGCUUGCCACCUCUGGUGAAGGAGCCCUGCUCCAGCGCUCCCCCCUAACAUAAGUUGAGAGGUCAUAUUUAGUUUAUUUUCCUACUUUAGUCUGCCGAAAUUUAUACCCAUUCCAUGUAUACCCGUUUGUAUAGAUGUCGUAUCUAUACCCUUUUAUAUGUGGUACUUUUUCAGUAAACAUUGCGUCAGGAACACACGGGAUGGUACAAGUAUGUCAUACGUACGGGAUUUGCUUGUGUAAGACAACGCGCACCAUACGGGUCUCUAUAGGGCUUUUUACCAAGGGAGGAGCACGAGCAGAAGUGCUGGUGAAGAGUCUGUACACAAGGGAAACCUAAAAUCUGCACCGAAGAUCUCAAGAGUAAAGAGCCAGUUCUUGCACUUGCAUGUGGAAGGAUGAGGUCUCCAUCCACUCCGUACUCGUCGUGGAGGCUCGCAUCCACCAUCCGGGACAGAGAGGAGCUCGCAGCUGCACAUCACAUCCACCACUGUACUGCUACAGUAUGAGUGGAUGUAGAAGAAGCUACUUCUGGGUUGAAGAAGAUUUAUUAUUACUAUGAUGUUUUAGCUCUUGUAAUUGACAUGCAGUGGAAUAUUAUCAGAUCAUGUAAGUUGUGUGUUGUAAUGAAGUGGUAUAAUAGGUAAGUUAUAUGAAGUUUGCUUGUAAGGCAUGAAUAAUUGUUAAUGGACCACUUUGCUGGAUAUAGCCAAUUCUCUUUUUA